AAAAUAGUAAUAAUAAUAAUAAAAAUAAUU
rnacentral:misc_RNA from 1 species